rfam:Catabacter hongkongensis strain HKT16 2806ref_2ab_c3, whole genome shotgun sequence.
AUGAAUGAUGCACAAAAGCCAUAGACUCAGGAGCGUUUCGCUUAAUCGUAUGAAAUCCUGACGAGGUUGAUUUUUUAGGAACUUUGUUGCUCUUAUUAGGUCUUCAUGGCUUGGAUAAGGGCAUUUUUUAUUUCAAUC